rnacentral:ncRNA from 2 species
CUUUGCCCAAUGCAAACUGGCCCCGCAAGGGCUAAGAGGGAAUGCCGUGAAAACCGGCAACAGUACCCGCUGCUGUAAAGUCCAUUCUGGAAGCGAUAAACACCACUUUCAAUUGCCCAAUUGAUGGGAAGGUUUCACUUCAUCGGACUGAGUCAGAAGACCUGCCUUUUGCUAUUUAACUUU